CCUACGGGAGGCAGCAGUGAGGAAUAUUGGUCAAUGGACGAGAGUCUGAACCAGCCAAGUAGCGUGAAGGAUGACUGCACUAUGGGUUGUAAACUUCUUUUAUAAAGGAAUAAAACGAGGCACGUGUGCCUUGUUGCAUGUACUUUAUGAAUAAGCAUCGGCUAACUCCGUGCCAGCAGCCGCGGUAAUACGGAGGAUCCGAGCGUUAUCCGGAUUUAUUGGGUUUAAAGGGAGCGUAGAUGGGUUGUUAAGUCAGUUGUGAAAGUUUGCGGCUCAACCGUAAAAUUGCAAUUGAUACUGGCAGUCUUGAGUACAGGUGAGGUAGGCGGAAUGCGUGGUGUAGCGGUGAAAUGCUUAGAUAUCACGAAGAACCCCGAUUGCGAAGGCAGCUUACUAAAUUGUGACUGACAUUGAUGCUCGAAAGUGUGGGUAUCAAACAGGAGUAGAUACCCCUGUAGUC
rnacentral:rRNA from 1 species